GGCCUUCUUCCAGUGCUCUUCCUCGUUCCCAUCCACUUGAGUUCAGGUUGGUUUGCAUUAAGAAGUUUAGCUAUUUUGUUGGAGAAGGCACCAUAACUUUGCUAUCAGUUUAAUGACAAUUCAUUUUUAUUUUCAGUUGUCUUGACUGUUGAACUAUUGAACUUCUUUAAUUGUCGUAUUUGAAUUCUGUUGUCGUUAAAUUUCAUUAGAUCAAGACUUUGUUAGAUAUUGUGUAUUUCGGUUUGUCAAUUUCAAUGUUAUGACUUUGCAUAAUAGUAUGGUAGAAUUUUUUUUUA